UGAUUUACAUUUGAGUGAGUGGCGAACUGGUGAGUAACACGUGGGAAACCUGCCCAGAAGCGGGGGAUAACACCUGGAAACAGAUGCUAAUACCGCAUAACAACUUGGACCGCAUGGUCCGAGUUUGAAAGAUGGCUUCGGCUAUCACUUUUGGAUGGUCCCGCGGCGUAUUAGCUAGAUGGUGGGGUAACGGCUCACCAUGGCAAUGAUACGUAGCCGACCUGAGAGGGUAAUCGGCCACAUUGGGACUGAGACACGGCCCAAACUCCUACGGGAGGCAGCAGUAGGGAAUCUUCCACAAUGGACGAAAGUCUGAUGGAGCAACGCCGCGUGAGUGAAGAAGGGUUUCGGCUCGUAAAACUCUGUUGUUAAAGAAGAACAUAUCUGAGAGUAACUGUUCAGGUAUUGACGGUAUUUAACCAGAAAGCCACGGCUAACUACGUGCCAGCAGCCGCGGUAAUACGUAGGUGGCAAGCGUUGUCCGGAUUUAUUGGGCGUAAAGCGAGCGCAGGCGGUUUUUUAAGUCUGAUGUGAAAGCCUUCGGCUCAACCGAAGAAGUGCAUCGGAAACUGGGAAACUUGAGUGCAGAAGAGGACAGUGGAACUCCAUGUGUAGCGGUGAAAUGCGUAGAUAUAUGGAAGAACACCAGUGGCGAAGGCGGCUGUCUGGUCUGUAACUGACGCUGAGGCUCGAAAGUAUGGGUAGCAAACAGGAUUAGAUACCCUGGUAGUCCAUACCGUAAACGAUGAAUGCUAAGUGUUGGAGGGUUUCCGCCCUUCAGUGCUGCAGCUAACGCAUUAAGCAUUCCGCCUGGGGAGUACGGCCGCAAGGCUGAAACUCAAAGGAAUUGACGGGGGCCCGCACAAGCGGUGGAGCAUGUGGUUUAAUUCGAAGCUACGCGAAGAACCUUACCAGGUCUUGACAUACUAUGCAAAUCUAAGAGAUUAGACGUUCCCUUCGGGGACAUGGAUACAGGUGGUGCAUGGUUGUCGUCAGCUCGUGUCGUGAGAUGUUGGGUUAAGUCCCGCAACGAGCGCAACCCUUAUUAUCAGUUGCCAGCAUUAAGUUGGGCACUCUGGUGAGACUGCCGGUGACAAACCGGAGGAAGGUGGGGAUGACGUCAAAUCAUCAUGCCCCUUAUGACCUGGGCUACACACGUGCUACAAUGGAUGGUACAACGAGUUGCGAACUCGCGAGAGUAAGCUAAUCUCUUAAAGCCAUUCUCAGUUCGGAUUGUAGGCUGCAACUCGCCUACAUGAAGUCGGAAUCGCUAGUAAUCGCGGAUCAGCAUGCCGCGGUGAAUACGUUCCCGGGCCUUGUACACACCGCCCGU
rnacentral:rRNA from 2 species